rnacentral:rRNA from 1 species
AUGGAUGGCUGCCGGGAAGAAUUCUCCGGCGACUUCAUGGUGCUGCGGCCGGACAAGGGCGGCGUCCGCAGCCUCCUCCAGCUGCUGCGCUCCAGCGACGUCGGCACGAGCGACGCCGUCAACUGCGCCGCUGGCUGCAAGGAGGUCCCAGACCGGUGGUGCCGGUGGAUCAUCUUCCUCUCCGUCGUGGCGCAGAUGCUGCUGCUGUGGGUGAAGUGGCCCUUGGGCAAGCUCGGGAGCGCUGUCGAGUACUGGAUGAACCUCAUCACGGACAACGGUGGCGGCGUGCUCAAGCUUAUCAGAAACGCCAUGCAAGGCGAAUUACGAAUUCCGCACAGAAAAUCCCCCAACUAUCGAUCGCUCAUUGGACUCAUCGACACGAGAGUCGAACUGGACAAGAAGAUCAAGCCAGAGGAUGGCAGUUACCUCGCUGCUCUGGGCAUCAUGGCCUCCAAACUGGCCUACGAGAACGAGCUGGUCAUCAAGAACGUCGUCGAAAACCAUUGGCACAUGAAAUUCCUUGAGUUCUUCAACUGCUGCAACGAAUUCCGAGGGGAUCAAGACGAUUACACGACGCAGGCCUUCAUGUUCGCCGACAAGCCGGCUGACGCCGACCUCGUCGUGGUGGCGUUCCGCGGCACGCAGCCGUUCGACGCAGAGGAUUGGUGCACAGACGUGGACAUCUCGUGGUACGACAUCCCUGAGGCGGGCAAGGUUCACGGCGGCUUCAUGAAGGCGCUCGGGCUGCAAAGGAAUGCCAUCGGCUGGCCAGAGAAGAUCGAAGCAAUCAAGGAGAGGCCGUUUGCCUACUACGCCGUCCGCGACGCGCUGAAGAAGUCCCUGGCGGCCAACCCGCGCGCCCGGUUCGCGGUGACCGGCCACAGCCUGGGCGGCGCGCUCGCCGUACUGUUCCCGGCCAUCCUUGCCCUGCACAGGGAGCGCGACCUGCUGGCCAGGCUCCACGGCGUGUACACGUACGGGCAGCCGCGCGUGGGGGACGCGCAGCUCGGGGAGUUCGUGGAGCGGCACCUCGACACGACGGCGGCCAGGGGGAGGUACUUCCGGUUCGUCUACUCCAACGACAUUGUGCCGAGGGUGCCAUACGACGGCAUGUUCAAGCACUUCGGCCGGUGCAUCUACUUCGACAGCUACUACAGGGCGCAGGCCAUGGAGGAGGAGCCCAACAAGAACUACUUCUCGCUCGCGUUCGUGGUGUCCAAGUACGUGAACGCGGCGUGGGAGCUCGUCCGGGGGCUCGUCAUCGGGCACGUCGUAGACGGGGCGGAGUACACGGAGGGGUGGACAAUGAGGAUCGCCCGGGCGGUCGGCCUGGUCAUCCCCGGCCUGCCGGCUCACGCGCCGCAGGACUACGUGAACGCCACCAGGCUCGGGGCCGCGUCGCUCGACCUGCUUCUCCGUGACCAUUAA